AGGUCCAGGGUGUGCAGGAGGCAGCCAAUCAAUGAUUCUUUUCUCAUCAUUGAUGCUUCUAGCUCUCCUCCCCUUCUCUCUGAAAUCAGUAAAUUUUAAAGUGAAUGAAUGAAUGAAUGAUGUUUUGGUUCCUAGUUCUUUGGUUACAAUCUGUCAAUCAUAAUGCACAGAGGUCUUUGCCUCCUCUCCCUGACCCCUAUCUUCAAUUCCAGGUCUUAGGCUCUGGUAUUUACCUCUGUAUUUUUAAUCAUAUGUAAUCUCGAUAUGUCAAUUUUAAAAAACUUUAUUUUGAGAUAAUUUUUAACUUACUGAAAAAUUGCAAAGGCGGUACUUAUAGAGAGUUCCUGAAUACCCUCACUCAGCUCCCUCUAAUGUUUACACGUUCAUGGUACAUUGUCACAACUAAGAUUAAUGUUGGUACAUUACUAUUAAGUGUACACAGGCUAAUGGCUGCUCACUAGUUUCUCUACUAGUGUUCUGCGAUCCAGGACAGCACAUUGCAUUGAGUCGUCAUGUCUCCUCGGUCUCUAGUCUGUGAUAACAAUCCUUAAUAGUGUUUAAGACUAUAGGUUACAUUAUUUAUAAUAUCCUAAAGUGGUUAAGAACCAUCUGGUUAGGGCAGGGAAAGAAAUAACUCCCAGAACAAGGCUUAGUGACAGAUCUAAAGUUGGAAUCAAGCCUCUGAAUAGGGCUCCCAGAUGAUGCGAUGUAGGUGAUCCAUAAAGCAUGCACCGGGCCACCUGUCUGUAAGGUCCUAAACAUAAAGCAUCCAGCACACUGCCUGGCACGUGGUUUGUGCUCAGGGAAAAAUAGGAGGGAGGCUGGUCCCAGAAUUUCAAGAGACCCCUGAUGCUUGCUCAGUCCUGCAUCGUCUUGUGACAUCCAAACCGCCCUUGGUUCUGUCCCCUGGCCUGCGACGGGGGAGAAUAAGUCACAGCAGCAGCAUUUUCAUUUCAUAAGCACUUGUUUUUAUUGCACGGAAGCAAUUGAACGUGGUCUCCGGUGGCAAAGUGCGCCCUGGCAUGGCUCAGUGCCCGGCCCCACCCACCCCAGCUCUUCCAGGAGAGCGAGCCCCGGGCGCGGGCCUGGCCGCUCCUUUGGAAAACAGAAGGCAUUUGGGAAUAGGUUAAGACAUCUCAAGCAUAAUGUGUUUCUAACUGCUCAUUCAUUAUUGCGGCCACCUGUCCAUUGCACAUACGGGGAAUAAAUGCACUUAUUUGGAAAGGAGGGGGGAAGUUUUUACAGUCACGUGUUUACGGGUGGCAUUCACUCGGCAUAGGUCACAUUCCGCUACAGAAGCUAUCAUAGCAUAGUGGUCCAUCGCCUGGGGAGGGUUUAGGGUGCGGGGGCCCGGGAGGGGAGUGCCCUUCCUUGAUAAUAUUGCUAACAACUUCUUUGGUGAGGGAGAGCCCCGCCAUCUAAGCAGAGUUUCUUAUAUAAAGAAAAGGGAG